UGCCCUGUUUGCUUUCUACUUGACCAUUUACAUGAUGCCAAGUGACCAUGAACAAACAUAUGCUAGUUUGGGGAAUGUGGAAGCUAAAAUAAUAAAUAAACAAGUUGUGUAUGAUCACAAAGACACUGUUUAAACAGAAAAAAGCUCUGCUUUGUUACCUACAUUUCACAACAGUAUACAAGAGUCUUCGCAAGGGGCCCAAAUGCAUGUUAGGCGACUGUAAAUUAAAUGCUAAAUUUUCAUCCCCGCUCGCCCCCACUCUUUUCUGAUUUUCCUUAGAUUUUAUUAACUCAAAUAAAAAUGUUGAACUAUAGUCUGUAUUUGCCAAUAGGUCCAGUACUAUCCGGGAAUAGCUCUUAUGUAAACCUUCAGUGUCAAUGUGGUAGGAUUGUGUUCAUGGUUCAUCUAAAACAUAUAAACCUUGCGCAAUAAGAAAGAGCACAAACACAGUGAAACAGUCAUCGAAGAAAAAUAAAAAAUAAAUGUCGCUCCCUGCCUCCAUUUAACAAAAAAAAUUGGAUGGAAAUUUGGCAAUGAACUUAUAUUGGCCUUACCAUUUAAAACACCCUUUAUGGCAGCUGACUAUGGGUGAAGUGAUUUAUUAUGUAACAGAUGACACAGGCACCAUAUAGGACGGUCCACACUGUCCAAUAUUAAAGAGUUAGGGGGCCGUUUCAUUAAAGGUUGUAAGUACCGAUAUCGUAACUUUUUAUCGCAACUUUGAGUUUUCCUCGUAAAUGCGUUUCAUUAAAGUUGUCGUAGCUAAAAUAUCGUAACUUUCGUGCGUAACUUUACGCGUGCUAUGAAGUGCUCGUAACGUUGACGUAGCGUUCGUAAACAUGGCUGCCAUAUACGGCAUCCUUUACGGCCAGCGGAGAAAUCCGGCUGAACGACUGUUUACCCACGUUUUACCAUGGUCGGGUUGCGGGACCAAGAAGUCAUCAGUCGAUAUCGACUGUCAAGGCCCAUGAUAAAUGAUUUGGUCCAUUUAAUAAGAGCGGACAUCGACCCAAAGACCAACCGAGGAAUGGGCAUAGAUGCAGAAACGAAGGUAUGACCGUAUGGAAAAUAUUUAGUACUUAAUCAAAUAUAUUGUUCAGAGAUCCGCACGGGACGCACCUGUUGUUAAGGUUUUUGCUUUGAAAAUAUUUCCGUUAUAUCUUUGGGUUAAUACAGUUACUAGUUACCCAGCUGUAUCCGGUUGUCAAGUUUUGAGAAGAAACGCAGCUAAGGAGCAGCCGAAUUAAUGUUUUAUUUCUAAAGCGUGUACAUAAUUCAUCAUUUGUAUUUGAUUUGACAAGUGAUGAAGUGUGUAGGACGACAAUCUUCAAUAGAUACCAACAAGGAUUAUACUGUUAACACUUAGAAAUUAGUGUUUCGGAUAUGGAUAACAAUUCGGACAUUAUGAUGAUCUUUCUGCUGAAUCCGUAUGUAGUUAAAUCAAAUUAAUUCAGCCGAUACAGAAGCGUUUGUGUGUAUGUGACACCAACAUAAUUGAUCAUUCAGCGCAACCCUUUAAGUGGGUCUUCCUCACAGUACCCUUUCAAAUGAGUAUCUAUUUUAAAUGUAUCCUUAAAUAAUUACAAAUGAUAUGCUGAUGACUGGCGUCCACUAUUAACACAUAAAUUGUCAAUAUCGUUCAUUUUGUGUCAAUACAGGUCUUACUGACAUUGAGGUACCUGGCUUAAGGAGACUUUUUUUCUGAAGUUGGAGAUAUCCAUGGUGUGUCCAAGUCGUCAAUGUCCAGACACUUGCAUGACGUGGUGCUGGCGAUUAACAACAGGGUUGAUAACAUAAGAUUCCCAGAAAUAGAUGUAGAAAGAAGGAGCACAGCAACAGCAUUUUACAGGCUUAGCCGAAUCCCUAGGGUGCUUGGUGCUAUUGAUUGCACGUUGAUACCAAUUACUACCCCAACUACCCACGAGGCAUCCUAUGUGUGUCGGAAGGGUUACCACGCCUUAAAUGUUCAAGCAGUGGUGGACACUAAGUUGAGUUUCAUUGAUGCUGUGGCGCGGUGGCCUGGCGCAACCAAUGAUGCUUAUCGUGCUACCGAGAAUCAAGACGCACGAAGUUUUAACCGUUUAUUCAUACGUAUGAUGAUGAUGUUGGUAAAAAGCUGAAAGUAUACAAAACACAUGUAUAAGACUAGUUAUUACAUGUUAAGAUGUUUGGUCCAGAAUAUGUUUGAGGGUAUAAGCUUUGUUUAAAAACACCGAAUACGUUCUGGGAAUCUUACUAAACCAGCAUACUCCGGAGGAAUGUUCCUCGUAAAAAAACUAAUGGUUGCCAAAUAAACAACAAAUCACUUAAAGCAAACCGCUCAACCAUAAGCUAGACCAACAGAUCAAAAUAAGUCUUCCACAUUACUAUUCACUAAAUGUAUAUAAAAACUAGUUACAUUGUAAUAAGAUGGUGCAUCUUAACUUAAAUUGCAAAAAUGUAACAACCUUAAUAUAACCAAGAGUACGAGUAUGAAGCUAUUGGUUACGAAUAACAUAUGACAUUCGUUAAAAUACUACUUAAAGUUUGUAAACAAGACAAAAACUAGAAGAUAUCAAUCUAUACAAGUUCCAUACUUAUGGCAAUAUAAGAAACUUACACUAUGAGGGGCUCAAGGACUAGAUAUUUGGUUUAGAUGUGCGGAGCGCACACAGCAUACGUUGGAACAACGACGUAACCCCGUCAGAACGUGAAAAAAUACCAAAGUCAAAUUAACAACUAACGACGUCUAAACACAUAAAAAAUACAUAACAAUUUCAAAAACCAUCGAACUAUAUGCAAGUUCCAAAACACUCCCCGUCUGGUAUGCCUAUGCCACUUUUAAUUACAUUUAAAAAAAUCAUCAAAAGAAAAAUGGUCUCAAGUCGCUUUAACCAAGUUCCACAAAAUUGUAUUAUUGAAUGUUUAGAAAUUAUCAGUACAUGUUACAA